GACGAACGCUGGCGGCGUGCCUAAUACAUGCAAGUAGAACGCUGAAGCUUGGUGCUUGCACCGAGCGGAUGAGUUGCGAACGGAUGAGUAACGCGUAGGUAACCUGCCUGGUAGCGGGGGAUAACUAUUGGAAACGAUAGCUACUACCGCAUAAGAGUAGAUGUUGCAUGACAUUUGCUUAAAAGGUGCAAUUGCAUCACCACCAGAUGGACCUGCGUUGUAUUAGCUAGUUGGUGAGGUAACGGCUCACCAAGGCAACGAUACAUAGCCGACCUGAGAGGGUGAUGGGCCACACUGGGACUGAGACACGGCCCAGACUCCUACGGGAGGCAGCAGUAGGGAAUCUUCGGCAAUGGACGGAAGUCUGACCGAGCAACGCCGCGUGAGUGAAGAAGGUUUUCGGAUCGUAAAGCUCUGUUGUAAGAGAAGAACGAGUGUGAGAGUGGAAAGUUCACACUGUGACGGUAUCUUACCAGAAAGGGACGGCUAACUACGUG
rnacentral:rRNA from 1 species